rnacentral:pre_miRNA from 1 species
GAAAUACUCCCUCCGUCCCAAAAUAACUGUCUUCACUUUGUAUUAGCUUUAAUACAAAAUUAUAUUAAACUUAAGACAGUUAUUUUGGGACGGAGGGAGUACAUG